CGCUCUGGUGGAUUAGUGGUUAGAACGUCUGCCUCGAAUGCGGCAGAUCGUGGGUUCGAAUCCCUGCUGAGUCA